rnacentral:rRNA from 1 species
UACGUAGGGCGCAAGCGUUGUCCGGAAUUAUUGGGCGUAAAGAGCUCGUAGGCGGUCUGUCGCGUCUGGUGUGAAAUCCCAUGGCUCAACUGUGGGCUUGCAUCGGGUACGGGCAGACUAGAGUGCUGUAGGGGAGACUGGAAUUCCUGGUGUAGCGGUGGAAUGCGCAGAUAUCAGGAGGAACACCGAUGGCGAAGGCAGGUCUCUGGGCAGUUACUGACGCUGAGGAGCGAAAGCAUGGGGAGCGAACAG